rnacentral:lncRNA from 1 species
GUGGGCCGGAAUUCACUUGUGGGCCGCACUGUAGCAGCCGAAGCCCAACAAGCGCUCGCAUCGACGGCAUUUUUCACGGCGAGCGUUUUCUGGGGUGUCCGGUGGCCGCCGCUGGCGAAUCAGAUCCGCCACCUCGCCCUGGCGCUCCGGCGGCCGGCGAGGUGGGCUGCGCUGCGCCGCCGCUUCUGGCCAGAUUCGCCUGAACUGGAAGUGAAACACAAGGCAAAGACCCAAGGAACUUCAGGUCGUGACUCCUGA